UUAAAGAAGUUGUUGCCACAAAGCAAAACCCAACUCGAGAGGGUCAGAGGGAGGUGUUCAAUAGUCAGCCCGUGACAGAGUGCCAAAAGAGGUCAAGAGGGACCAGUCUGCUCAAGAUCCAUGAGAGCUGAGUGAACCUCCCUCCUGCAGAGUACCAUGGUGUUCUGCAGGUUCUGCCCCACAGUCUGCUCCUCUCCACAAAGGGAAAACGAGGCACAGAUGACCAAGGCUGUCAUGAGAGCACUGGCAGAGAUACUCUGAAUGCCUCAGAGCAGAGUCUGGGCAACAGCUCUCCAUUCUCAAUCCACAGAGGCUCUCAGUUCUCUGACCACCCAACGCCUCACAGUGACUUUCAAAGGAACUGGUAGGCUUGCAAUGACAAGAGCAGGGUGUGACUGUACAGGAUACUGAGUGAGCUGUCAAGUCUUUACUGACUCUAAAGAAGAACUUUCUACUUGCACAGCCUUGCAGAUCUCUGGUUUGAGGCUGUGCACUUGCUCUUCCCUGAAGUAAGAGCUGUCAGAGACCAGAAGUUCUCUAAUGCUACCUUUUUCUACAGCACUGUGAAUAUAUUCUUAGCUGAGGUCAAGCUCUCUUUCUGUCUUUUAGCUGGGUGGAGGUGAGCAGAUGCUAACCACCACCACCAGAGUCGGGGUGAUUGUAGCACAGAGGUGGUGUAUACUUCUGGCAGAAAAGUUCUCCAAAGGGUUUAUCAGUUCAGCACAGUGUUUGUAUGAACUCUGCAGAGUGCCUAGCAGAUUUGGAUGCCUUUGAAAAGUAGAGGAAGAUGACGCCAGCCAUGUGCAGGGACUUCCAACCCCUGCUGUUAAACCAGUUUCGUAAGGGCCUCUUAACCAGCACUUCAUUAAAACUUUCCCAUUGGCCUCAAAGUCAAUGUUAACCUUGGCCCCGAUGCAGAGAAUAUUGACUUUCAGGGUCAAUAAAUCUUAAUAUGGAUCAAAUUGGAA